GACGAACGCUGGCGGCAUGCCUAAUACAUGCAAGUCGAGCGAACAGAUGAAGUGCUUGCACUUCUGACGUUAGCGGCGAACGGGUGAGUAACACGUAAGGAAUCUACCUAUAAGCGGGGGAUAACAUUCGGAAACGGGUGCUAAUACCGCAUAAUAUCUUCUUCCGCAUGGAAGAAGAUUGAAAGACGGCUCUGCUGUCACUUAUAGAUGACCUUGCGGUGCAUUAGUUAGUUGGUGGGGUAACGGCCUACCAAGACGAUGAUGCAUAGCCGACCGGGGAGGGUGAUCGGCCACGUUGGGACAGGGCCACGGCCCAAACUCCUACGGGAGGCAGCAGUAGGGAAUCUUCCGCAAUGGGCGAAAGCCUGACGGAGCAAUGCCGCGUGAGUGAAGAAGGCCUUCGGGUCGUAAAACUCUGUUAUAAGAGAAGAACAAAUUGUAGAGUAACUGCUAUAGUCUUGACGGUAUCUUAUCAGAAAGCCACGGCUAACUACGUGCCAGCAGCCGCCGUAA
rnacentral:rRNA from 1 species